AGUGGCGCACGGGUGAGUAGCGCGUGGGUAACCUACCCUUGGACUUGGGAUAACUCCGCGAAAGCGGGGUUAAUACCGAAUGACAUUCCGAUUUCUAAGGGGAUCGGAAUCAAAGGUGGCCUCUGCAUGCAAGCUAUUGUCUAAGGAUGGGCCCGCGUACCAUUAGCUAGUUGGUAGGGUAAUGGCCUACCAAGGCAACGAUGGUUAGCUGGUCUUAGAGGAUGGCCAGCCACACUGGAACUGAGACACGGUCCAGACUCCUACGGGAGGCAGCAGUGGGGAAUCUUGCGCAAUGGGGGAAACCUUGACGCAGCAACGCCGCGUGGGUGAUGAAGGCCUUCGGGUCGUAAAGCCCUGUCAGGUGGGAAGAAACAUAUCGGUGCUAAUAUCACCGAUGUUUGACGGUACCGCCGGAGGAAGCACCGGCUAACUCCGUGCCAGCAGCCGCGGUAAUACGGAGGGUGCAAGCGUUGUUCGGAAUUACUGGGCGUAAAGCG
rnacentral:rRNA from 1 species